rnacentral:lncRNA from 1 species
GUUCUCCCUCCGCUCUGCUGUUGCUGCUUCUUCUGCGUUGGUACGUGCACGCGGACGCGUAGAGAAGGGACACUGGCCUCUCUGAUACCACGCGAGAAACGGAGUUCGUCUAUCAGUGCGACGCAGGUUCUCCCGGAGGAUGAUGCUGUUUGCUGAGAUUCACGGAUUUGUGUCAUACUUGCGGAUGAACCAAGUUCGAACUACGCCAUCAUCAUUCACGAGUCACCAAAAGCUAUCUUAGCAGGCCCAUUUCCUCGAUCGAGGGUAAUCAAGCCACGCAUCGAAGAAAGAGCAAAGGGAAGAGAGGCUUCACUGCGUCAGCGAUAAUGAGCAGCUCCCGACGAGAGGAGCAGAAGCUUCACAAAAGAAUGGAGAUACUCGACGCUUCGAUAUGCGCAGCGUGAAAAGGAGUAUAUAUAAGUUACGCACAGGCGCGUGAGCGGAAAAAUCCGCGAAACUCCCGGAAACGACGACGCUUAUCCGAACAAUCGAAGCAGAAGCUGAGCGAGAGAGAGAGAGAACAGAGAGCAGCGCGGUCAGCGCGCAAACUCAAUUUCGGCGCGUCGCGAAGCGCAAAUUUAUCGCCGGAAGUUCCUCGAACGAUUCGGUCAGAAGAAGAAGAAGAAGUGUAGAGAGAAGGAGGAACAAGUUGGGCGUCUCCGGACUGAGUUUAUUAAAGUCGGCGCGGCGAAGAGAUGAAUAGGCAGUUGGCACGUAUGCGGAUAUCGCGCGCUUUUGCGCGUGUAUACGUGUUUAUAUUCCGAAACUUUUUGCUUUUCUUCUACUCCUUGAAGUUAAAUUUUGAAAAACUCCUUCAUCAAAAUCCCGAGCUUUCGCGUCGAAAACUAUCAGCGUCGCAACGUUUCUCUCGGCGCUAAUCCCUCUCUCUAUACGCGAGGGGGAAAAAAGAGAAGGAGGAAAAAAAACUUGUACAGCUGAGCACGACUCGUUUUCAAGUCUCCGCCGAGCCAUUGUUUUCGCUGUAUAGGAAGAAGUUGGACCGCCCCGUCGAGAAGCCGUCGCUGAAAAUUUUCGAGCGAGACAUCAAGGGCCGCCGGAGAGAUUUUACGAGGCGACGAAGAGACGCCUAAAGACGCGGCGACUGGACGAAGAACUUUGAGCCGAGUGAUUCUCGCUACGCGUGUGUAUAUAUGUAUAUACAGGCUCUUGGGAAUAUAGGAGAGUUUUAUGAUUU